rnacentral:rRNA from 1 species
UACGUAGGUGGCAAGCGUUGUCCGGAUUUACUGGGCGUAAAGGGAGCGUAGGCGGACUUUUAAGUGGGAUGUGAAAUACUCAGGCUCAACCUGGGGGCUGCAUUCCAAACUGGAAGUCUAGAGUGCAGGAGAGGAGAGUGGAAUUCCUAGUGUAGCGGUGAAAUGCGUAGAGAUUAGGAAGAACACCAGUGGCGAAGGCGACUCUCUGGACUGUAACUGACGCUGAGGCUCGAAAGCGUGGGGAGCAAACAGG